UACGUAGUGUCCGAGCGUUGUCCGUAAUUAUUGGGCGUAAAGUGCUCGUAGGCGGUUCGUCACGUCGGGAGUGAAAACUCGGAGCUUAACUCCGAGCCUGCUUCCGAUACGGGCAGACUAGAGGUAGGCAGGGGAGAGCGGAACUCCUGGUGUAGCGGUGGAAUGCGCAGAUAUCAGGAAGAACACCAAUGGCGAAAGCAGCUCUCUGGGACGGUACUGACGCUGAGACGCGAAAGCGUGGGGAGCGAACAGG
rnacentral:rRNA from 1 species